CCGUCUGGUAUGUUUGGAUUUUUCGCAUUUUUAUCUCACCUCUGGUUGAUCUGACUUGUCAUCCUGUUUUUCUGCAUUGUCAUCGGACUCCGAAUCCCUUUGAGCUUGCAGAAAAAGUGCUGUGCACAACUAAUCCAAACAGGUUGCAGCUAAAUCGAAGGCCGCUCUAAAUGUAAAGGUGGCCAAAAUAUGUGGUCGACCGACCUUACCAAGAAAGUCGGCUCGUCAACCGAACCAGAAAAAACAAGGGGAAGUGGAAAAACUUAUUGAUCAUGUAGCCACCAAGGAGGGCGGAAUGUUCAAAAUCAGACGGAAAUUAUGGACUAAAUGAUGGUUUCUGGGAUUCAAGCCAAAAUCUGGCUUGCGACGCUUAAUAUAAAAAAGUAACAUAGCAGAAGGUUGAUGUCAAGGAGAUGCACGAAUCGACGAAGACCGCAGAGACCAGGAACGUCAGUGGAACUUGUAGUGGAUUCAGGUAUUAAUGCUGGUUCUCCGAAGUGAACGCUAGUGCCAAAGCGCAAAGCUGAGCACGUCUCGGACUCCAAAAUGGCAAGAAUGAAGCUGAAAUAAAUUCGGAGUCCGAUGACGAUGCAGAAAUUGAGGAUGACAAGGCAGCACAACCCCAGGAUGAAUACAAUUCGUCCUUGCUGUUGUAAGGGCGUGCGUACCUGCUUGAGCUGCGAACAGGACUUUCAGGAUGCAAAGACCACGCUACUGUAUCCAGGGCGAUCUGCCGACUUUAAAAGGCGCAAACAACGGCAUAUGUGCAACGGCGCUUCGAAGACGUUCCCCUGCUUCGUAUAAAUGACCAACUUGCUACUUUUGAAGGAAAGGUGCUACGCAUACCUAUGCCAAACCUCUCCCUGAUAGUUUUGUAUGGACCAGCGUGAGUCAAGCAUUAGAUGUGGCGGGCAGGUCAUCGCUAUUUUCUACCGUUUGACGAGCCCUCACCCCAGUGUCCACAUUGGAAUCACUAUCGUCCUCAUCAGUAUCCUCUUCAACGAUAUUUUUCCCAUUACUGGUGGUCAAUGUGUCGGUGUUCCUGAUCUCGGCAUUCUUACUUUUUGUUACUUUUACUUACUUUUUGAUUAGUGCAUUGCAAGCCAGAUUCUUGCUUGGUUCUCAGGAAUGAUCCUUUGAUCCAUAGUUUUCCAUCUGAUCUUGAUCAUUUCGCCCUCCUUGGUGGCUAUAUGAUCAAUAAUUUUUUUCACCUCCUCACCUUCUCUGGGUCGGUUGAAGCGUUGGCUUCUUGGUGCCGGCGGUCGGUCGACCACGUCCCUUGGCCAUCUACACACAAUUGGAGUAUGAGAAGUUUUUGGAUAAGCUACUCUUAAACUUUCUAACCGAGCUGACCUCCGAUUCGAGGAAGGUGCGGCUGCCCAUCUUGAUGUCCAUCACACACGGAUCCCGAAAGCCAGCCAGCAGAUCCUGCAGCUCAAUAAAGUGCUGUGAUUGCAUCUCCUGUAUUCCAAAGUAGGCGGGCACUAUCUGAGCGGUCUGCGGUUCCUUGCAGAUCAGUCGGUAGGCGUGUACUUCGCUAUCCUCCAGUCCUGAGAUCCGUUUGCGCACUAUUCCAGUCGAUGUGGGAACAAUGCUGCAAAAUAAGAAUAAUAGUAGCAGUUAGUAAUUUGACUAAUAAAAUGUUUAUUAAAUUGUUUUCUAAAAAAUGUAAUUUAUUUGUAAGAUUUUUACCUCUCUGGGUGACCGGAAAGCUGCAUCCAGCCCUGUGGCUUCGCCUGCUUGUGGGCCUGCUGAUGCUGGAGGAGAUGUGGCGUUGCUGGGGCACUCAGCUCUAGGGCAUUCUGGAAACAAAGGGAAAAAUGAACUUAGUAAAGGAGAACAUGAAAUACGCAUUCAUUGAUAAAUUGCAGUUAUCGCGGCUGCGAACGGGUUUGCCUCGAUCUUUUUCGCCAGAGGGAAACAUUACUGUCCGCCGGCAGCGAUUAUAAAUAAUCAAACGAAUUUUAUUUGCCAGCCGGCGGGCAGCCACGCCCAACUCACAGCCUCGUAAACGUGAAAUUUAUGCAGGCAGCUCGCCAGGCCAACCGAUCGCACAUUGUCCGAGGCUCCUGACCAGGAAGCGCUCCGGUGGAAAGUUUCUGGCCAAUUGGCACGAGACGAGUGUGCUAACAACAUGGGGUACUUACAAUGGCCAAGAACUUGAGCAGGGACAUCUGAGCCGGAUCCUGCGGCCCGUUUUGUUUGUGCUUAUAUAAAAAUGCGGAGCCACUUGAUGGGUCGUCGUGUGUGGUUUACGACCGAGAUCUUGUUGGUCUUGGGUCCGAAGUUCUGUUUUCGCCUGCCGCUCUGCGAGAUGUCCCAUGGCAGGUCAUCCAAGUCGGCUAUAAGUUGGGCGCCCUCAUCCACGCUAAGAAAUUCCUCCUGCACCAGGAUGCCAGGCAGUGGGAGGCCCUCAUCUUUUUUGUGAUUUUCAUGAUCCUUUUGGACUUGAUUGGUAUCCCAACCGGGCUGCAGAUGAUCACACUGGAUACAGUAGGACCAAGCUUCUAGUUCCUGGAAUUGCUCCUGUAGCGAGGUCUUCACUAUCUGAAAGUCCUGUUCGCAGCUCAAUCAGGUACGCACGCCCUUACAACCGCAAGGACGAAUUGUAUUCAUCCUGAAGUUGCGCAAAAACACGUUAAUAACAAACAGACUGCCAGUGUGACCGGAUGUUUAUACUAUACCGGCCUUGGUAUCGUAAUAAAAUACCAAUCAUAUGUUUGGUAAAUACUGACCAGAAUUUCGGAGUUAGUAUCUUAUUCCGUCUGUUAAGUUUGGAUUUUUCGCAUUUUUAUCUCACCUCUGGUUGAUCUGACUUGUCAUCCUGUUUUUCUGCAUUGUCAUCGGACUCCGACUCCUUUGAGCUUGCGGGAAAGGUGUUGUGCACAACUAAUCCAAACAGGUUGCAGCUAAAUCGAAGGCCGCUCUAAAUGUAAAGGUGGCCAAAAUAUGUGGUCGACCGACCUUACCAAGAAAGUCGGCUCGUCAACCGAACCAGAAAAAACAAGGGGAAGUGGAAAAACUUAUUGAUCAUGUAGCCACCAAGGAGGGCGGAAUGUUCAAAAUCAGACGGAAAUUAUGGACUAAAUGAUGGUUUCUGGGAUUCAAGCCAAAAUCUGGCUUGCGACGCUUAAUAUAAAAAAGUAACAUAGCAGAAGGUUGAUGUCAAGGAGAUGCACGAAUCGACGAAGACCGCAGAGACCAGGAACGUCAGUGGAACUUGUAGUGGAUUCAGGUAUUAAUGCUGGUUCUCCGAAGUGAACGCUAGUGCCAAAGCGCAAAGCUGAGCACGUCUCGGACUCCAAAAUGGCAAGAAUGAAGCUGAAAUAAAUUCGGAGUCCGAUGACGAUGCAGAAAUUGAGGAUGACAAGGCAGCACAACCCCAGGUGAGACAUAAAUUCGAAAAAUCAAAGCACACAAUUAGAUAUUGAACCCUCAGUUCAUUCUUCGAAAUUCUGGUCAGCAUUUACAAAACAUUGAUGGAUGAAUACAAUUCGUCCUUGCUGUUGUAAGGGCGUGCGUACCUGCUUGAGCUGCGAACAGGACUUUCAGGAUGCAAAGACCACGCUACUGUAUCCAGGGCGAUCUGCCGACUUUAAAAGGCGCAAACAACGGCAUAUGUGCAACGGCGCUUCGAAGACGUUCCCCUGCUUCGUAUAAAUGACCAACUUGCUACUUUUGAAGGAAAGGUGCUACGCAUACCUAUGCCAAACCUCUCCCUGAUAGUUUUGUAUGGACCAGCGUGAGUCAAGCAUUAGAUGUGGCGGGCAGGUCAUCGCUAUUUUCUACCGUUUGACGAGCCCUCACCCCAGUGUCCACAUUGGAAUCACUAUCGUCCUCAUCAGAAUCCUCUUCAACGAUAUUUUUCCCAUUACUGGUGGUCAAUGUGUCGGUGUUCCUGAUCUCGGCAUUCUUACUUUUUGUUACUUUUACUUACUUUUUGAUUAGUGCAUUGCAAGCCAGAUUCUUGCUUGGUUCUCAGGAAUGAUCCUUUGAUCCAUAGUUUUCCAUCUGAUCUUGAUCAUUUCGCCCUCCUUGGUGGCUAUAUGAUCAAUAAUUUUUUUCACCUCCUCACCUUCUCUGGGUCGGUUGAAGCGUUGGCUUCUUGGUGCCGGCGGUCGGUCGACCACGUCCCUUGGCCAUCUACACACAAUUGGAGUAUGAGAAGUUUUUGGAUAAGCUACUCUUAAACUUUCUAACCGAGCUGAAUCCCGAUAUUUCCAAUAUGGAACAAGGGGUUAAUAUAGGGUGGAGCUCAGCCCGGGCGAUGCGGUGAA